rnacentral:rRNA from 1 species
ACCCGCUGAAUUUAAGCAUAUAAGUAAGCGGAGGAUGAGAAACUUAACAGGACUCCCUCAGUAAUGGCGAAUGAAUAGGGAUUGGCUCAGCUUGGAAAUUGGGACCGCAUGGCCUUGAAUUGUAGUCUAGGGAUGCGCUGUCAACGGGGAUGCAGAUGUAAGCCUUUUGGAGCAGAGCAUUGUCGAGGGUGAGAGUCCCGUGUGUCAUCUGCAGCUUCCUCCCGUGCACGGCUCGCCUUCUACGAGUCACGCUCCUUGGGAUUGGAGCGCAAAGCGGGUGGUAAAUUUCAUCCAAAGCUGAAUAUAGGUUGGAGACCGAUAGCAAACAAGUACCAUGAGGGAAAGGUGAAAAGGACUUUGAAAAGAGAGUUAAGAGUGCCUGAAAUUGCUGAAAGGGAUGCGAAUGAAACCAGUGUGACUUGGCGAAAUUGCUGCAUGCCCCAUGCAACUGCCUGUCGCCACGGCGCAAGUGCGGUGGCAGGAUAUCGGCAGGGUGUUCGCGGUGCUUCUUACCUUGUCAGUCAGCGUCGCUUCACGCGCGGGGAAAACCGCUGGUACAUGGUAGCCCGUCUUGGGGUGGGUGAAUGUGCCUGCUUGCACUCGCGCGUACGCUGCUCGGUGACAGUAUGGUUCCAUUCGGCCCGUCUUGAAACACGGACCAAGGAGUCUAACACAUGUGCGAGUUCUUGGGUGGCAAUACCCGUUUGCACAAUGAAGGUGACUGCCGGGAAUCUUGCACCAGCAACCGACCAACCAAUCGAGAGAGGUUUGAGUAUGAGUACGUCUGUUAGGACCCGAAAGAUGGUGAACUAUGCCUGUGGAGGGCAAAAUCAGGGGAAACUCUGAUGGCGGCUCGCCGCGAUACUGACGUGCAAAUCGUUCGUCAUACAUGGGUAUAGGGGCGAAAGACUAAUCGAACCAUCUAGUAGCUGGUUCCCUCCGAAGUUUCCCUCAGGAUAGCUGGAAUUUAACAGUUUUAUCAGGUAAAGCGAAUGAUUAGAGGAAUUGGGGACACGUUGACCUCGACCUAUUCUCAAACUUUAAAUGGGUAAGAUACGGUGGUUACUUGGGUGAACCUCUGGGAUAAAUGACAACUCUAAGCGGGCCAUUUUUGGUAAGCAGAACUGGCGAUGAGGGAUGAACCUAACGCUGGGUUAAGGUGCUUAAUUGCUCGCUCAUCCGAUACCAUAAAGGGUGUUGGUUCAUCUUAACAGCAGGACGGUGGUCAUGGAAGUCGAAAUCCGCUAAGGAGUGUGUAACAACUCACCUGCCGAAUGGACUAGCCCCGAAAAUGGAUGGCGCUCAAGCGGGUGACUGAUACCCAACCGUUGCUGCACUUGUGAUGCAUCAAUGAGUAGGAGGGCAUGGGGGCUCGUGAUGAAGCUUGUGGUGCAAGCCUGGGUGAAACGGCUCCCAGUGCAGAUCUUGGUGGUAGUAGC